UGCAUGUUAUUGAAUAUAAAGAAAAGACGAACAGCUCAGUAACUCUUAUUUUAUUUGAUGUAUUAGGACUGUUAACUAUGUUAAAUUAUAGAUAAUAAUAAUACAAUAAGAAUAAGAUCUAUCAGUUAGUUGUUAAGGUAAUGGCUUAACAAGACAGUGACGGAUAACGGUAUUACUUUGUAAUAUUCCGGAGAAGGAGCCUGAGAGAUUGCUACUAAGUCUAAGGAUUGCAGCAGGGGCGAAACUUGACCUAUGAUAUAUUAUUGAGGCAGUUAUGAGUAGUAUUUUAUAAUUAUUGUAAUAUUGUAAGUAUAUAUUACAAGAUAAAUCGGAGGGCAAAUCGAGUGCCAGCAGCCGCGGUAAUACUUGUUCCGAUAGUGUGUAUGAUGAUUGAUGCAGUUAAAAAGUCUGUAGUUUAAAUAAUAAUAAGCAUUGUAAGGUAUAUUGUAUGGUUAGGAGAGAGAUGAAAUGUGAUAACCCUAACUGGAUGAACAGAAGCGAAAGCUAUAUACUUAAAUGUUUUAUUAGAACAAGGACGUAAGCUAGAGGAUCGAAGAUGAUUAGAUACCAUUGUAGUUCUAGCAGUAAACUAUGUUAAAUCAUAGAUAUAUUUUAAAUAUAUAUUUAUGUAAAGAAAUUAAGAUUAUAUUGACUCUGGGGAUAGUAUGAUCGCAAGAUUGAAAAUUAAAGAAAUUGACGGAAGAAUACCACAAGGAGUGGAUUGUGCGGCUUAAUUUGACUCAACGCGGGGUAAUUUACCAGGUAUAACAUGAUAUAAUAUUUUAUCAUGAUAGUGGUGCAUGGCCGUUUCCAAUGGAUGCUGUGAAGUAAUGAUUAAUUUCAACAAGAUGUGAGACCCUCUAUUAAGACAGAUGUAGUGAUACAUAUGAAGGAGAGGAUUAAAACAGGUCCGUUAUGCCCUAAGAUAAUCUGGGUUGCACGCGCAAUACAAUAAUAUUUAAUAUUAUAAGGGAUAAUAUAAUGUAAGAUAUAUUUGAACAUGGAAUUGCUAGUAAAUUUUAUUUAAUAAGUAGAAUUGAAUGUGUCCCUGUUCUUUGUACACACCGCCCGUCGCUAUCUAAGAUGGUAUUAUCUA
rnacentral:rRNA from 1 species